rnacentral:rRNA from 1 species
AUGCUCGUGGCGAUCGAGAUGUUCAACUCGCUCAACGCCCUCUCAGGGGACACGAGCCUGCUAAGGAUGCCUUCGUGGGUCAACCCGUGGCUGCUCCUGGCCAUGUCGGUGUCAUUCGGGCUGCACUUCAUCAUCCUCUAUGUGUCGUUGCUCGCGCAGGUGUUUGGCAUCGUGCCACUCAGCCUUAAAGAGUGGCUCCUGGUGCUCCUUGUCGCGCUCCCGGUCAGGGCACGAGGAUCUGUUCACCGCCGUGGAUAG